rnacentral:rRNA from 1 species
AUUGAACGCUGGCGGCAUGCUUUACACAUGCAAGUCGAACGGUAACAGGCCUUCGGGCGCUGACGAGUGGCGAACGGGUGAGUAAUGCAUCGGAACGUGCCCAGUCGUGGGGGAUAACUAUCCGAAAGGAUAGCUAAUACCGCAUACGAUCUGCGGAUGAAAGCGGGGGACCUUCGGGCCUCGCGCGAUUGGAGCGGCCCAUGUCAGCUUAGGUAGUUGGUGGGGUAAAGGCUCACCAAGCCAACGAUCUGUCGAUGGUCUGAGAGGACGACCAGCCACACUGGAACUGAGACACGGCCCGGACUCCUAGGGGGGGCGGCAGUGGGGAAUUUUGUAAAAUGGGCGCAAGGCUGAUCCAGCAAUGCCGCGUGCAGGAAGAAGGCCUUCGGGUUGUAAACUGCUUUUGUACGGAACGAAACGGCUCCCUCUAAUACAGGGGGCUCAUGACGGUACCGUAAGAAUAAGCACCGGCUAACUACGUGCCAGCCGCCGCCGUAAUAC